AUGGGAAAGUCUCAGAGCAAGCUUGUUGAAUAUGAUACACCGGUAUAUUGGCAAAUGAAAAAGGGAUAUGGCCAGAAAUGCAUGCAAGAUAUGGGGAAAUUAAUUAAAUACCAUGGUUUUCCAAAAGAGGGAGCGUUGAGUGUUAAGAGAUUAAAAGCUGUGAAGGAAUCAGUAGAAGAGGGAAGUGAGAGACAGAGAGGGUGUUGUGUGAAACAUAUGUGUAAGAAAUGUGAGGAAACGGUGAAUUGUUGGAUAGAGGAAGCAGAUAAGAGAGAGAGAAGAGCGAUACAGAAAGAAUUAGCAGGCAGAAAGGAAGAAAAGAAAAAUGGAAACUGUGAAGAAAAAGUAAUUGCAUCACACAGAUCCACUAACAACUGUGAUAUUUGUGUUUCCAAACAUGCACCGCCGCCUUAUCCUCACUAUCCCGUGGCGGAGUUGCAAGCCGUGAAAAUGGACCCUGACCUCGACCGCUCUCCACCGAAAAGACCAACAGCGCCGCGGGCAGAACCAGAAUGGGGACAGGAAGCAGAGGAAGAACCAGAAAUUAUUCCUGAAACCCCCAACGACGAAAUUGAAGAGGAAAUAGUGCGCAGAGCACCGCCGACAAAGAAAAGAAAAACAAGACAAACAGUGAAAGAAGAAAAUGUGAGUGUAACAGCUCCAAUGCUCGAAGUAUCUGGUCCUGAGGGGCCCAUUAUGGUCUUCAGACCAUGGACUGUGACUGACAUGAGAGAAGCGAUGGCUCACUUGCCAAGCCCGGACGAAGCAGGUGAUAAAUUUUCUACAGAAUUGGUCACCUUCUGCCAAGAAUUCAGCCCAACCGUGCACGAACUGAGAAGGCUGCUGGCAGUGAAACUGGGGGCUACGAGCUGGCACAAAGUGAGUGGAAAGCUGCAGAAAGAAGACUGUCGGAGAGAACACUGUGAAUGGGAACACCAUGAUAAUGCAAGCUACCGCAAAGCUGUUGAAGAGUUGGCUGAAGCUAUAAAAAUAGCAUUUCCAGCGCGUGUGGACACAGCGAAGAUUGGCAAUUGCUGCCAGGGAAGAGAUGAGUCUGUUCAGGACUAUUACAACCGCCUGUAUCUGAUUUUCAACAAACACAGCGGGUUAGAGGAACCGGAUGAGCGCGGAAAUCAGCCUGACACAUGGGAGUGUCAUCUCCGAAGCUGGUUUUUGAAUGGACUGAGACCUGAAAUUACGCAAGCGGUCAAGACCAGCUACAUUGAAUGGAAAAGUGGACGACUAUCUGCUGUUUUAGCACACGCUUUGCAUGCAGAGGAGCUGCAGACGGCGAAGAAGGAAAGAGUUAAAGCCAAGACCGACAGAGAGUGGCAGCUGGCGGUAGUGCAAGCAGUGUCGAAGCCUGGGGGCUAUUCUGCGCAGCGACACCAGCAAGCAAAAGGGGGAAAGGGAAAAGGACGAGGAAAAGAUCUUGGAAGAAAUUCUGAGAGAUGGGGCUGUUGGAUCUGCGAGACUAAUGAGCAUGCGACCUACAAGUGUACAAGAUGCAGACUGUGCAAAAAGGACGGUCAUUGGGCAAAGAAUUGCCCGGAGGACCGGCAAAAUCAAGAAGCAGACUGA
ensembl:lncRNA